GACGAACGCUGGCGGCGUGCUUAACACAUGCAAGUCGAACGGAAAGGCCCUGCUUGCAGGGUACUCGAGUGGCGAACGGGUGAGUAACACGUGGGGGAUCUGCACUGCACUUCGGGAUAAGCCCGGGAAACUGGGUCUAAUACCGGAUAGGAGCCAUUUUUAGUGUGAUGGGUGGAAAGUUUUUUAUGUGUAGGAGUAGGUCGCGGCCUAUCAGCUUGGUGGUGGUGUAAUGGCCUACCAAGGCGGCGGCGGGUAGCCGGCCUGGGAGGGUGGACGGCCACAUUGAGACUGAGACACGGCCCAGACUCCUACUGGAGGCAGCAGCAGGGAAUAUUGCAAAAUGAGAGUAGGCCUGAUGCAGCGCCGCCGCGUGGGGGAUAACGGCCUUCGGGUUGUAAACUCCUUGCGCUAGGGCCGAAGAUUUUUGUGACGGUACCUAGAUAAGAAGCACCGGCUAACUCCGUG
rnacentral:rRNA from 1 species